UGAGUUCGAAAUUCGAAUCCGAAAGUUGAAAGUUGAAAGUUGAAAGUUGAAAGUUGAAACCCAACCCAACAGAGUUUUUGUUUUGUUACAUUACAGCAUCCUGAGAAUUUGAAAAUCCCCAACCCUCAUGACAUUCCCAUCUUCCUCAGUCACACAGCCCCCAAACACGCCCUAGCAGCAACACUAUGAGAGAGCAACGAGUGGAGUCGUUCUACGCCAAGCUUCGCCAGUCCGCCACGUCAUCCUCUUCCUCCUCUCCGGUUCUCAUCUUCCCCUCAACCUCCGACGUCGACUCCCUCUGCGCCCUCAAAAUCAUCCUCCACAUCCUCCAAUCCGACUCCAUCCAAUACGCAUGCUACCCCGUCUCGUCUUUCCACGAGAUCCACAAAUACGUUUCCUCCGCCUCCAACGACCACCCUCUCUCCGUCGUUUUGGUCAACUGGGGAAACCACAGAGACCUCCGCAAAACGCUCAACCUCAGCCCCAACGCGCGCGUCUUCGUCGUCGAUAGUCACCGCCCAAUCCACCUCCGCAACCUCAGCGACCGAAACGACGCCGUCACGGUCCUCUUCACUAAAGACGACGAGCAACAAUCGGAUCUCGCCUACGACUUCGACCUCACCACGCUCGCCAACGCCGGGAACGAAAACUCCGAAUCCGAAUCCGAAUCCGAAUCGGAAUCCGAAUCUGAGUCUGACUCCGAGGCGGAAUCCGAACGAGAUGGAUCUCGAAAGAGGAGAAGGAAGAACCCCGAAGAGGAUCCAAUUAAACUGUACCGAAAACUGAAGAAGGACUAUUACCGAUUGGGAACGUUCCACGGGAAACCCUCGGGGUGUUUGAUGUACGAGCUCGCUCACUUUCUGCGGAGGAACACGAACGAGUUGCUCUGGCUCGCGUGCGUUUCGCUCACGGAUCAAUUCGUGCACGAGAGGCUCAGCGAGGAGAGGUACCACGACGGCGUGAUGGAGCUCGAGCAGCAUAUUAACAGCUCCGGGAACUUGGACGCGCCGACUUCGGUUACGCUCAAGGACGGUACCAAAAUUCGCGCUCCGAAUUCGUCGCGAAUCACGUACGAGGAUCAACCGAGGUUGAUGCUGUUGCAGGAGUGGAACCUCUUCGACUCCAUGAUGUGCUCGUCGUACAUUGCCACUAAGCUGAAGACGUGGAGCGAGAACGGGGUGAAGAAGCUGAAGCUUUUGUUUGGGAGGAUGGGGUUUGCGCUCGCGGAUUGCCAGCAGCAGUUUCAGUACAUGAAUGUGGAGGUGAAGAGGAAGAUGAAGCAGGAGUUUGAGAGGUUUUUGCCUGAGUAUGGACUCACUGAUUUUUACUACAGGAGUUUCAUGAGGGUUUAUAGGUAUUCUAGGGUUUCUGCUGCGGAUGUGGUGUUUGGUGUCACCGCUUUGCUCGAGUCUUUUGUGAAAUCGGAUGGUUCUUGCGCUUCUCAGAAGUUUGGUGAGGCGUAUGAUGCGUUGUUGUCUUUGGAUAAUAUUAAUAAGGAGCUGCAAAAAGGGAUGCAGGAUGCUAUUAAGAUUCAGAGGGCAAUUUUGAGGCAAGGGAGUGCUGCGAUUACUAAGAGUGGGUGCAUAAGGAGUGGGAGGAGUUUUCGGUGGUUGAAGUUGGAGGAUUCGCGUGAUGCCAAGUUGUUGGGGUACCCUCAGGCGUUGACCAAGUUCUGUUAUUUUCUCAUGGAUGCUUUGAAAGAGAAGGGGGCGACGAUGAAGCCUUUGCUUUGUGCUUGUUUGUCUCAGGAGGCUGGGAAGGUGUUGAUUGUGGGGGUUUGUGGGAGGCCGCGUUUGGCUGGGGCUCGGGGGAAUGCGUUUGGAAUUGCGUUUAGGACUGCAGCGGAGGAGAUUGGGACUCAGUUCUUCCAUGAGUUGUUUGAAUCGUCGUGGAUUGUGCUGGAUGCUUCUGCUGUGAAUUCCUUCAUGGUUAGGUUGAUUGAGAAGCUGUGAUAAUGAUGGGUUUCUAAUUAGAGUUGGUUCUUCGAGGAGGUGUCUUCUCUAACUGCACUGCUGUGCCUGAGUCUCUGGUUACUAAUAAGUUGUGCGCAGGGGUUGAUGUUGCACUCUGGAUCGUGAUAAAUUGUAUUAAACCCUGGAACUGCUAAGUUUUUGCAUCAACAAAGAAGGAAAGUGCAUUUCACCAGAUGCCCAUUUGAUUUCAUGUGUCCUUCCAUGAAGUGCCUUCUCAGGGAUCAGCACCAGCAAAUUUCACUGGUGGUAUUUGGUUGAUUUGAGAAGUUGUUAAUGCUGCUGAAUUUCUGAUUAGAACUGGUUCUUCAAGGAAGUGUCUUCUCUUACUGCAGUGCCGUGCCUGAGACCGAGAUUACUGUUAAGUAUUGUGUAGUGGUUUAUCUUGCACCAAAGCAGCUGAGAUCGUGUGUGACCUUGGAGACCCUUCUUUGCAAGCUUGAAGUCGUUCGGAGCUGAACGCGAGUGGAGUUCUCUUCCUCUUCAUCUCUUCUUCUCAUUGUGUUAUUCCCGGAAGCUGUGACUGAUCAAGGAGGUGCAUUCUCUCCAACUUGAAGCUGUUCGGAGCAAGUCGUGUGCGGAUCCUCUUUUCUUCUCCUUCCACUUCCCGAAGCUCGGAUUUCUUCAAACCGAGAACAAGAAUAGGUCGGAGACUGGUAGUUGGGCGGUAGCUGGCAGUUGGAGCUAACCCUCUCGGGAUGUUGGUCUUUUGGUGUUGUUUGGCUACUAGGUGUAGCAAUUGAAUGAUGUAUCUAUCUGUACACUUUAACUCUGGU